AGCCAUGCGAGUCGAGAGGGUUCGGCCCUCGGCAGACUGCUCAGUAACACGUGGAUAAUCCGCCCUUGGGUGGGGGAUAAACUCGAGAAAUUGAGCAUAAUACCCCAUAGGUCUAGUAUGCUGGAAUGCUUUUAGACCGAAAACUCCGGUGCCCAAGGAUGAGUCUGCGACCUAUCAGGUUGUAGUGAGUGUAAUGGACUCACUAGCCGACGACGGGUACGGGCCUUGAGAGAGGUUGCCCGGAGAUGGACUCUGAGACACGAGUCCAGGCCCUACGGGGCGCAGCAGGCGCGAAAACUUCACAAUGCGGGAAACCGUGAUGAGGGAAUUCCAAGUGCUAGCAAUUUAUUGUUAGCUGUUUACAUGCCUAAAAAGCUUGUAGAGUAAGAGCUGGGUAAGACUGGUGCCAGCCGCCGCGGUAAUACCAGCAGCUCGAGUGGUGGUCGUUAUUAUUGGGCCUAAAGCGUCCGUAGCCGGUCUGGUAAACUCUUGGGUAAAUCGGGCAGCUUAACUGUCCGACUUCUAAGGAGACUGCCAGACUUGGGACCGGGAGAGGUCAGAGGUACUCAUGGGGUAGGGGUGAAAUCCUGUAAUCCUAUGGGGACCACCAGUGGCGAAGGCGUCUGAUCAGAACGGGUCCGACGGUAAGGGACGAAGCCCUGGGGCACAAACCGGAUUAGAUACCCGGGUAGUCCAGGGUGUAAACGUUG
rnacentral:rRNA from 1 species